UACGUAGGGGGCAAGCGUUGUCCGGAAUCAUUGGGCGUAAAGCGCGUGUAGGCGGCUUGGUAAGUCCGCUCUGAAAGCCCGGGGCUCAACCCCGGGAGGCGGGUGGAUACUGUCAAGCUCGAGUCCGGAAGAGGCGAGUGGAACUCCUGGUGUAGCGGUGGAAUGCGCAGAUAUCAGGAAGAACACCAACGGCGAAGGCAGCUCGCUGGGACGGUACUGACGCUGAGACGCGAAAGCGUGGGGAGCAAACAGG
rnacentral:rRNA from 1 species